GUUCACAAUUUAGUCUUGCAAAUAUCUUUGGGCCACUUUGGGAUUAUGGUUUUAAAGGAGGUUUUUUGUGCAAUUGACCAUAGAUGUGUGUGUUGACCAUAGUGUAAGAGCACAUAGUGAGUGGAGGAUUUCUAUUUCCUCCACUCACACUUAACCACAUUAUUUCAUUCUCUUCCUUACAAGAAAACCCUAGCCUCCAUGGAUGGAGCUUAAAGCCUUAGGCAUUGACCUUGAUAUUUGAGGCCCUUCCACUUACUUUAGACCAUAAAACUUGGAUACUUUUUGUUCCCCUCAUCCUCCUCUUCAAAACCCUUGAAGGAUCUAGCCUAACUCCUAGUUUUGCUUUGGUAUCUAGAGAUUCAAUUCUCUAGUGAGGUAUUGAUCUAUUAUUUUGAAGUAUUUAUAUGUCAUUAUUGAGUAUUUUACACGCAUGGAAGAGAAGGACUUGUAUUUUGCCCUUAAACUGUUUUAACUUAAAAUUAAUCUUGUCAAAUUAAGUAUAGAAUAUGAAAAUAUACUCAAUUAUCUUUCAUUUAGUUUUGGUUUCAUGUAAUUUGGAUUUAAAAUGAAUUAGUUAUGAAUUUUUGAAGUUACAAGCUAGUUGCUGGAAAUUUGAAGCUUUUCCUUUUUGGUCAGGAAAUGAAUUUUUAUCUGGAGCUGUGAUGCUUCAAUUACCUUGAAAUUUUUACUGGAACUUCCCCCAUGGGUUUUACACUAAUCAGAAUUUUUUCAUGAUUUUAGAGAAUUUCUAAAUUUUUUUAAAAAUCCGAAACUAUAUGCUGUCCAUGUUUUUAUUGCAGCUGGAAAACAUAUUUUUAGAUGAUUUAUUUCACUAACCUUUUGACAUUGGAUCAUGGCUUAAAUUUUCAGUUUUACACUCUCAUAUGUUUACUUCCAAAAUAAAUUAGGUUUGCCCAAUUUGGAUGUCAAAUGAAUUUUUCAUGAAUUUUCAAAGUUGGAAGCUACAGGCUGAAAAUGUGUUUUCUGGGCAGAAUUUGUUCCAAAGUUGUGGGUCAAAAAUGUUUCAAUUGGGAAAAUAUUUUGUUAAACUAAAUUAAUAUAAUCAAAUUACAGUAUUUAAGCUUUCAUUGGGCUUUGGAUUCAUUCAAUUUGGGUUAGAAUUGAAUUUUUUAUGAAUUUUACAAGUUGAAGGUAGCAAGCUGAAAAAUCUGUUUUGCGGACCGAAAAUUUGGGGCGAUUUCAUUUCGGUGGUAAUUGGGAUUUUCAUUCCAAUUGAGGUACAGGACUCGGGAUUUGAAGAUUCCAUUGCUCCUUGGAUGGCUUACAGUUUCUAAGUUUCUAUUUUAUGCAAGUGUUAGCAUAAAAUGCCUCUUUGUAGCCCUAUUUGUUUAAACUUGUAUUCGUUGAUUCAUAUAUGUAAGGUGUACGUAAGUGCACUCUUUUCAAUAUAUUUAACAUGUAUGAGAUGAGGCCGGAGGCCAAUCACAUGUAUCUCGUUUUCUAUGCACUUUUGUUUUCAAAGUUUAUUAUGAAAA